GAUGAACGCUGGCGGCGUGCUUAACACAUGCAAGUCGAACGGGAAACCUUUUAAUGAAGCUUCGGCAGAUUUAGCUGGUUUCUAGUGGCGGACGGGUGAGUAACGCGUGGGUAACCUGCCUUAUACAGGGGGAUAACAGUCAGAAAUGACUGCUAAUACCGCAUAAGCGCACAGGACCGCAUGGUCCGGUGUGAAAAACUCCGGUGGUAUAAGAUGGACCCGCGUUGGAUUAGCUUGUUGGUGGGGUAACGGCCCACCAAGGCGACGAUCCAUAGCCGGCCUGAGAGGGUGAACGGCCACAUUGGGACUGAGACACGGCCCAGACUCCUACGGGAGGCAGCAGUGGGGAAUAUUGCACAAUGGGGGAAACCCUGAUGCAGCGACGCCGCGUGAAGGAAGAAGUAUCUCGGUAUGUAAACUUCUAUCAGCAGGGAAGAUAGUGACGGUACCUGACUAAGAAGCCCCGGCUAACUACGUG
rnacentral:rRNA from 1 species